rnacentral:rRNA from 1 species
UACGUAGGGUGCAAGCGUUAAUCGGAAUUACUGGGCGUAAAGCGUGCGUAGACGGCUAUGUAAGUCAGGUGUGAAAGCCCCGGGCUCAACCUGGGAAUUGCAUUUGAGACUGCAUAGCUAGGGUGCGGAAGAGGGAAGCGGAAUUUCCGGUGUAGCGGUGAAAUGCGUAGAUAUCGGAAGGAACACCAGUGGCGAAAGCGGCUUCCUGGUCCAGCACCGACGUUAAGGCACGAAAGCGUGGGGAGCAAACAGG